rnacentral:tRNA from 1 species
GGGGCUGUAGCUCAGUGGUAGAGCACUUGCCUUGCAUGUGUGAGGCCCUAGGUUCGAUCCUGGGCACCA